rnacentral:rRNA from 1 species
UACGGGAGGCAGCAGGGGGAAUAUUGCACAAUGGGCGCAAGCCUGAUGCAGCCAUGCCGCGUGUAUGAAGAAGGCCUUCGGGUUGUAAAGUACUUUCAGUCGUGAGGAAGGUGUUAAGGUUAAUAACCUUAGCAAUUGACGUUAGCGACAGAAGAAGCACCGGCUAACUCCGUGCCAGCAGCCGCGGUAAUACGGAGGGUGCGAGCGUUAAUCGGAAUUACUGGGCGUAAAGGGCACGCAGGCGGUUAAUUAAGUUGGAUGUGAAAUCCCCGGGCUUAACCUGGGAAUGGCAUUCAAGACUGGUUAGCUAGAGUCUUGUAGAGGGGGGUAGAAUUCCAUGUGUAGCGGUGAAAUGCGUAGAGAUGUGGAGGAAUACCGGUGGCGAAGGCGGCCCCUGGACAAAGACUGACGCUCAUGUGCGAAAGCGUGGGGAGCAAACAGGGAUUAGAUACC